rnacentral:rRNA from 1 species
UACGUAGGGGGCAAGCGUUGUCCGGAAUCAUUGGGCGUAAAGAGCGUGUAGGCGGCCGUACAGGUCAGCUGUGAAAACUCGAGGCUCAACCUCGAGACGUCGGUUGAAACCGUACGGCUAGAGUCCGGAAGAGGAGAGUGGAAUUCCCGGUGUAGCGGUGAAAUGCGCAGAUAUCGGGAAGAACACCCGUGGCGAAGGCGGCUCUCUGGGACGGUACUGACGCUGAGACGCGAAAGCGUGGGGAGCAAACAGG